UACGAAGGGGGCUAGCGUUGCUCGGAAUCACUGGGCGUAAAGGGUGCGUAGGCGGAUCUUUAAGUCAGAGGUGAAAUCCCAAGGCUCAACCUUGGAACUGCCUUUGAUACUGGAGAUCUUGAGUCCGGAAGAGGUAAGUGGAACUGCGAGUGUAGAGGUGAAAUUCGUAGAUAUCGCAAGAACACCGGUGGCGAAGGCGGCUCACUGGCUCAUUACUGACGCUCAGGCGCGAUAGCGUGGGGAUCAAACAGG
rnacentral:rRNA from 1 species